AUUCAGAAGCCCUGUUGGCGGUAGGUGCACUUGAUUCAGAAGCCCUGUUGGAGGUAGGUGCACUUGAUUCAGAAGCCCUGUUGGAGGUAGGUGCACUUGAUUCAGAAGCCCUGUUGGAGGUAGGUGCACUUGAUUCAGAAGCCCUGUUGGAGGUAGGUGCACUUGAUUCAGAAGCCCUGUUGGAGGUAGGUGCACUUGAUUCAGAAGCCCUGUUGGAGGUAGGUGCACUUGAUUCAGAAGCCCUGUUGGAGGUAGGUGCACUUGAUUCAGAAGCCCUGUUGGAGGUAGGUGCACUUGAUUCAGAAGCCCUGUUGGAGGUAGGUGCACUUGAUUCAGAAGCCCUGUUGGAGGUAGGUGCACUUGAUUCAGAAGCCCUGUUGGAGGUAGGUGCACUUGAUUCAGAAGCCCUGUUGGAGGUAGGUGCACUUGAUUCAGAAGCCCUGUUGGAGGUAGGUGCACUUGAUUCAGAAGCCCUGUUGGAGGUAGGUGCACUUGAUUCAGAAGCCCUGUUGGAGGUAGGUGCACUUGAUUCAGAAGCCCUGUUGGAGGUAGGUGCACUUGAUUCAGAAGCCCUGUUGGAGGUAGGUGCACUUGAUUCAGAAGCCCUGUUGGAGGUAGGUGCACUUGAUUCAGAAGCCCUG